GAUUUUCAGAGAUAAUUUGGGCCUAAGAAAUGCGUGAAUGUGCCCUUCAUAUUCAUUACUUUGAGAUAUUCCAGAAAUGCACCAUUAUGGCAAGGGCCACCAGCCUCCUGGGCUGCACAAGAAAGCAUUGUUAGCAUCUCAAAGGGAGGCAAUCUUCCCAUCUACUCACCUGUGGGGAAAGGUACAUUUAUGUGUCCUUGUCUGAGCUCCCCUGAGUAAGAAAGAUAUGGACAUACUAGAAAGAGUAUAGGAAAGGGCCAUUAAGAUGGUUAAAGGUUUGUAGCAUCUGCCAUAGGAGGGGAGGCUGAGAGAGCUGGGACUGCUCAGCUUGGAGGAGGGUCAGGGAGAUCUUCUUAGUGUGCAUAAAUAACUGACAGAUGGAGCCAGGAUCUUUUCAGGGAUGAUCAGUAACAAAACAAGGGACAAUGUGUACAAACUAAAACACCUUCAGUCACUCCUCAGAGGGCAUAUUCUCCAAGCCCUUCACAAGCCUUGUUGCCCUUCUUUGGACCUGCUCCAGGAUGAGGAUACUCAAUAGAGAUCUAUGACUAUCAAAUUUCUUAACAGCUUCACCACCCCCACAGUUUUUAUUUUAGUACGAAAAAUUGGUGGAAUGGUAAAAAACAGUGAACUGAGUUGAUUUCAAAGAUGUCAAGCAGCCCCAAAUUCUUUACAACAGUAGAUUAGUAUAAUGGGGGAAAUCUACAUGAAAAGGUGUAAGGGGAGAGGGAGUGGUUUGUGAAGCGAGAUUAGAAGAAUGUUGCUGGCUGACAGAACAAGAAGAGUACGCUAUCUUUAAAGGUGGCUUUUUACUGUGUUGUCAGUGCAGAAAAUGUCAUUCAAAAUUAAGAAUAAACUUUAUUUAUUUAUUUAUUUAUUUUAAUAUUGUGAGGGUGAUCUAACACAGAGCAGAUGGCUCAGAGAGUUUGUGGAGUCUCCAUCCUUGGAGAUAAUAGAAACCUGACUGGAUGUGACCCUGGGCAGUCUUCUCCAGCUCAUCUUGCUCUGACCAGCGGAUCAGAGUGGUCAGUUUCUGGAUGUGUCUUCCUUCCUCAGCUCUCCUGCAAUGAGACACCAGCCCCCGCUACUUUAAGUUUGUUGUAAAUGCAAUACUAGAUCUGUGGCAUCCUAUUUGCUCUCAUGCUCAUCUGCUAGAAUGGCAUUAUGCCCACUCAGAAGGUGCUAUGCCAGUCUCAACAAAGCACAGGUGCCAACCAAAUGUAGAUUUAGAAAUAUACCCUGCAGAAGAUCCUCCUGGUAGUAAGUAAUGCCAAAUUAGGCCCACGUGCUUCAUUAAGAGGGAUCACAUCUGUCGAGGCUUGUGAGCACUGUACCAUCAAUUACAGCCUUUAUCCUCUUUCUUUUUCCUGAAAGCUUUAGUGGAUAGGAAGUAAAAUUUAUGAGCCAAUCAAAGGCCUUGAGAAAAUCUGGGCUUUUCCCUCAUGAUCUCUGUCUUGAAAUCUCAACUUUCAAACUGCUUGUGUUCUUAUCCCUCCAUUAGACAUACUUCAGUAUACACUAGAAUUGUAAUUUGAGGCCACGAGAGAAGAAUUAUGUGCAAUUCAUUUUGUACCUCUUAGACCAUGAAGCACUUUUUGCAUCAGUACCUUCAUUUAGUAGAAGAAAAUACAUUACUUCGUUGCUACCUUAUCUGUCCACAAGUUUCACUUAGGAAAUUAAGAGAUCACAAAGCUCAGACUGCUGACCACCAUGCUACCUGUUUUACAUGGUCCAUUGCUGUGUGUGAAAUGAAAACAGAUUAUACUGCUGAAUUUAUACUAUGAGAAGAACCGAUGACCCAGAAAGUGCUAUUAAAUCCUCUUACCUCAAGAAACUGGGCACUGUGAAGUGAAAGUCUGGUGGCAUCGUGCUCAGUGCUGCCAGGCUUACUUGGGAGCAAUUAUCUGUUUCUGUGGUAGUCUAUAGGAUAUUUGUCCCAGAUAUUAAUCUGGGAGCUUGCUAUGCCAGAAAGACAUUUCCAUAGUCGUCUUCUUGUUUGCCCUGAGUUGCUUGACCCCUUCUUAUUGGGUUUCCUUCAGGGUCUCCCUAAAGGUUGUGAUUUAACAUUAUGCAGUCCUGCAUAAGUAGUUUAACUAAUCUUAUGGUGAAGGCGAAAAAUGUAAUGCAAGAAACUGUCUUGAGGAGAGCAGUCUAGAUAAUAUGUUUCAUGAUUUUCCUUCAGGAGUAGUUAUGGGGAAGGAGGCACUGCUUUGUACCUGUCUACACCUCAUAUUUACCAUGAUAAGAAUAGGCUUGCUCUAACUGGCCAUCAGCUUAAUUUGAGUUAUGUCAACAGUAAAAGCACAAGUCCAGACAAAGCCCCAUGUUCUGUCAGUGUGCUUCCUAGCUCAGCCAAGAAAGGUAGCGCUGCCUCCUGCCUAGGCGGCCCCUAACAACAGCAUGAGGGGACAGUUGGAGGCCCCGGCACUGAGCACCUAGUGCUGUUAUGGUUUUCUAACCAAGCCUCAUGAUACGUUAGCUGAUAGGCAAACCAGCUGUUGUUCAGGCAUUGUAAUUUUGAUGGUGUUUAUUCCACAUCUGCAUCAUUAAGAGAAAUGUUUUAAAAUGUUGGUGAGUUCUAUAGACUGAAUUUUAUUCUCAUAGUGAUACAUAUAUUGAUAUCCAAAUAGUCUAUUCUUUAUGCACCAUUAAGCAUUCUGCUCAUGGCCUUUUCCCACAUCUUUCCAUUCGAACCUGGAGAACACACACUGUCAUAUAUUUAUGACAGUUAUUUAUUCUUUAAAACAAUAAAAAUAGCACAUCAGGGUCCUGUCUAUAAACAAUGGAAACAUUGCUCUAAAUUCAGUACUAUUUCUGUUUUUAUUAUGCGAUCGCUUCUUUGUUGUUAAUCACUUGCCCUACUUAAUUCAUUCAUUAUACUCAAAAGCUUUGAGAUUAAACCCCCAGGCCAAAUAGCUUCAUAUGAGUCCUUUCUUUUUUAUCUGUUCCAAGUUAGAUUAAGUCUAGGUCCUGUUUAAUGAGGUGCUACUUGCUGCUUUUUCAGGCAGAAAGAUUUCUUCGUACUCAGCGGUAUGUAUAUACCAUAUAAAUUAUAAAACAUUUUACUUUUUUUUCUGAAUUUCAAACUAAUAAGACCUGCAGAAAACACUAUUAUUACAAGUCCCCGGGGAUAUGAGUGGUUGGCUCUUGAUUUUUUCUUUGAUAUUAAUCUUACUGUUCUUUUAUAUAUAUAUAUGUAUCUUUUAUCUAUCUAUCUAUCUAUCUAUCUAUCUAUCUAUCUUUAUGUCAUUCCGUAGGAAUUUUGUUUUCAGUGACAGAAGACUUCUUUCUUGUCUUUGCCUUCAACUCAGGAAGUCAGCUGUUAGAAUCUCUCCACCUGCCAUACAAUGUUUAAUUAUUUGUCCAUGCAUCCCAUGCAUACUAUUUCUGCACUUUGGGCCUCAUAGAGCCAAUGUGAAUCGGGCAUGGGAAGAUAUAUGGUCAACUGUCAACAAUAGCUAAGGGAGUGUGAUAGGUCUCUCACUCCAUGGGCUGAGUGAUGAAGCACAUCUGUGAUGAUGCUGACCAGAGUUAGUCCCCAGCGUGGGUCUCAGAAUGAAAUUUAUACCCCUGCCUCUUGUGUUUACUGCCCUCCUAUUGGGCUUCUUUUCAGCCUCUGUCCUAUGGUUAAAAAGUCUGUUCCGUACUGGCAAAUUCCCAAUGCUAAUGGGGCUUCUUCUGAAUUUAUAGAUCUGUUUGUACUGAUUCAGCUUUGAUUAGUGGUUCCAUGCUGGACUUCGAUCCAUGCUCUUGGCUUCUGCACAUUCCUUUCUAAUUCUAAAAAACUGUUUAGCUGAAAAUGCCAUGUGCAGCCCUAUCUUCCCCAUUUGUAUAUUCAUACAUGUUACAGAUGGAAUUUUCUUUAUGCUAAUCAUGAAUGUUAGAAUAUACAAGGGCAGUCUGGCUAUGCUGCCAAAUCUCAGCUUUCUUGAAACAUGGGACGUAUCCAGGGAAGCAGACAACAAAAAUAGAGUUCAGCUAUCUUUGUAAAAGCCUACUACACUGAAGUAGUUGGUUAUGUUAGCCACAGAACAGCAGCUUCAUCCUGCUGAAAGUGAUCAGAAAGUCUUGGUUGUGAAAAAGCUUCUCUGAAGUCUUCUUACUUUUUUCUCCUUCCUACCAGAAUUUGCAACUGAACUCCUUACUAAAAUCACACGCAGCAGUGAUUUCCAGGAAUGCAGUGAUGUCCAGGAAGGCACUGAUGUCCAGGAAGGACCAUAUUCCAUGGUCUUUGGAGAGAUCUUGUCGUUACUUGCCUGCUGAAUUUAGGAUCUUUGUUACCUUAAUCCUAAAUAAAACUGCUCUUAAAACGUCAUUCAAGGCCCUUUUUCAGUAUUUGUUUACCCUGAGCUGUUCUGAGGUUCUUACAAGACAUGUACACCUUUGUGCAAGUGGAAAACAUGAUUUAUUUGUAUGUCUCCUGGAUUCUUCUGUCUUGACAUGCUCCUUGAUGCAGCCUUUGAUUAUUUCAACUUAUGAACAGUCAAGAGUCCAAUGUUAAGGAAUUAUUAUACAGCAAAAAUAAUAACAAAUGAAUGAGUAGAAUUUCAGCUGUGAUCCAGAUCAGUUCUACAGAGGCUGAACCCUCCCACCAAGAUUCCAUUACAUUUGUUGCCAUGUGACAGAUGACAGCAAAAGGGCAGUCUGACAAAACUGCGUCUGACAUGGAAGUGUUUAUGAAGAACCAGUAUGGAAUUGAAUUCCUCCAUGCAGAAAAAAUGGCGCCCACUGACAUUCAUUGACACUUGCUGUAGGAUGUGAGCACAGUGAGGGGUGGACGGUGCAUUUCAGCAAUGGUGACAGCGCCAUGAAAGACAAGCCACAUUCCAGACUGCCAUGCACAGCUGUCACACCAUAAAAUGAAGAGCAUCUUGACCAACCCAUCUGAGCAAAUCAACUAAUGGUGGUGACUGUGUUGAAAAGAUAGAAUUUUUAUCUGGGAAUUACCUAUAUCAAAUAGUGUUAUUGUUCUCUUUGCACCUGCUGUAGUUUUCAUUUGUGGGUUUUAUUUUUUGUUGUUUGUUUGUUCAUUUGUUUUAAUCUUGUAUUCUGCUUCCUGUGAUUAAAAGCAAGCUGUUUACACAACGUUUAUUACUAAGCAAAGAAAGUCCUCCAUCUGAACAAAUCCAGUUGUUAUACAUGACUAUGAAACAACACAUGUUCAUAUCCAUUUCUGUACAUGUUUACAGUUCAGUGUUUCCAUCCAAUUCAUUAAACAGCUGUCUGCUCUUCUUUCAACAUUAUUUGUGCUCACAUUUACAAACCACAGGUAAUUAGAAAUAAUAUUUGAAACAAAGGCCUUUUGGGAUAUUAAUCAAUGAAAAAAAUAUUACCUGUGAGAUUUUAUAUGAUAGGCACAACUAUCAGACAGAACAUUACUCUUACUAUAUUAUUUUUGGUUUCAAGGCUUCUUAGUCAUAGUAGAAAUGCAAUAUUUUGCAGGAAAAUUCAAUACUUCAUCAGAUGCCUGAUGUAUUUUUUUAGUAUAAAUAUUACUGUGUUUAACCUCACAAUGUCUUUGGGGGAAAAAUCAGACUAAUUCAAGCACCUUUUCAAGCAACAAGGAAAUAGCAUAUGUGAUUUUCAGUGCAUAAUUCAGUCUCUCAAGUAACCCUGAGGAGAUUGAGAAGACUACCUGUAUCUUCCUUUACAGUCAAAAUUUUUCAUGGUAUCUAUAUAUCUAUUUUCCAGUAGGUAUUGCAGUCUUCAAAAAAUGGCCUUAAAUUCAUGUGCACACGAGGGAUUUUUCCUGAGAAACCAAACAUUAGGCAUAAUUGAUAAAGUGCGUGCAAACAUGACUGUGCAUUUAAAUAUGUGAAGAACUAUAACCUAAUUCCUUUUUGGUUAUUCUCUUCUAUCACGUCUUUGUUGAUAAACCACUGCAAUAUAAGUGUUGUCUGCCCUUUUUCCUUCUUUUGCCUUCAUAUAUUUUAAAAAAUGAACCAGAAGAAAUAAGUGGAAGAUAGCACAUAUGUUAGGAAAAAAUCAGAGAAGUAAGUAGGGAGAAAGAAAAUCAUAAGAGAAAUCCACAGCAGAACAAUAAUAUUCACCAUCUGUUUUCCAAACUUACCAAACUUUAAGUACAUAGCUAUGAGUAAAAGAGUCCAUUGUAGUAGGUGCUAUUGAACUUACCAAACACCAGGCUUUUAAACACAGUCAUUUUUGUUUUCCUCACAAGCUUUGGAAGUUAAACAUUUGAAUUUACAGAGCUACAACCAGUUUUAUGAGUUCAUGAUGGUUCAGUAUUUGUUUCUCUUGUAAUCUCAACUGUGAGGAAGAUUUGGGCUUUUAAAAUGACUGUUUACAAGGCAUUCAGCUUCCAGACAUUGAUGUAUUUUGCUUUCUUUCUAAUCAUCAUCCAAUCUCUUAAAUGCUUUUACAAAUUAAGCUUGAAUGCUCCUCCUGAUAUCAAAUACAGCAUAUUAUUUCUAAUGAUUCUUUCUACUCUUUGAAAUGCCACUCAACUUUUUUUUUUUACUGUAACCAUUAGAUAUAUCUAUACAAAAUAAAUAAAUGAGAAGACUAUUUCUAACAUGCAAACCUUGACACAUUUAUCAGUUAUGUUUCAACAACGUUUUAGUUGGUAAUGAAACACUCAUCUCUGUUUUCUUUAUACUAUGAUGUUGUGCCUCAUGACAGAACUUCACGAAGUUUCUUUUAACACUGUUGAUGAUAUUUCUGGGAAUCUCUGUUAACUAAUGAAUGUUACAUUUAUAAUCUAUUCUAAACACAUUUAACUUGUUAAAAAUAUUGUCUACAGAAACUGUAUGAAUGUAGUGGUAAAUUAAUGAAUUUAUAACUGCACUCAAUAUUUUGGCAAAAGUAAUAAAAUUUUUAAUGCUA